rnacentral:rRNA from 1 species
UGGGGAAUAUUGCACAAUGGGGGAAACCCUGAUGCAGCGACGCCGCGUGAGCGAAGAAGGCUUUCGAGUCGUAAAGCUCUGUCCUAUGAGAAGAUAAUGACGGUAUCAUAGGAGGAAGCCCUGGCUAAAUACGUGCCAGCAGCCGCGGUAAUACGUAUGGGGCGAGCGUUGUCCGGAAUUAUUGGGCGUAAAGGGUACGUAGGCGGUUUUUUAAGUCAGGUGUCAAAGCGUGGAGCUUAACUCCAUUAAGCACUUGAAACUGAAAGACUUGAGUGAAGGAGAGGGAAGUGGAAUUCCUAGUGUAGCGGUGAAAUGCGUAGAUAUUAGGAGGAAUACCGGUGGCGAAGGCGACUUUCUGGACUUUUACUGACGCUCAGGUACGAAAGCGUGGGGAGCAAACAGG